rnacentral:rRNA from 1 species
GAUGAACGCUGGCGGCGUGCCUAAUACAUGCAAGUCGAGCGAACAGACGAGGAGCUUGCUCCUCUGACGUUAGCGGCGGACGGGUGAGUAACACGUGGAUAACCUACCUAUAAGACUGGGAUCACUUCGGGAAACCGGAGCUAAUACCGGAUAAUAUAUUGAACCGCAUGGUUCAAUAGUGAAAGACGGUUUUGCUGUCACUUAUAGAUGGAUCCGCGCCGCAUUAGCUAGUUGGUAAGGUAACGGCUUACCAAGGCAACGAUGCGUAGCCGACCUGAGAGGGUGAUCGGCCACACUGGAACUGAGACACGGUCCAGACUCCUACGGGAGGCAGCAUUAGGGAAUCUUCCGCAAUGGGCGAAAGCCUGACGGAGCAACGCCGCGUGAGUGAUGAAGGUCUUCGGAUCGUAAAACUCUGUUAUUAGGGAAGAACAAAUGUGUAAGUAACUAUGCACGUCUUGACGGUACCUAAUCAGAAAGCCACGGCUAACUACGUG